rnacentral:rRNA from 1 species
GAUGAACGCUGGCGGCGUGCUUAACACAUGCAAGUCGAACGGGAAUUACUUUAUUGAAACUUCGGUCGAUUUAAUUUAAUUCUAGUGGCGGACGGGUGAGUAACGCGUGGGUAACCUGCCUUAUACAGGGGGAUAACAGUCAGAAAUGGCUGCUAAUACCGCAUAAGCGCACAGAGCUGCAUGGCUCGGUGUGAAAAACUCCGGUGGUAUAAGAUGGACCCGCGUUGGAUUAGCUUGUUGGUGGGGUAACGGCCCACCAAGGCGACGAUCCAUAGCCGGCCUGGGAGGGUGAACGGCCACAUUGGGACUGAGACACGGCCCAGACUCCUACGGGAGGCAGCAGUGGGGAAUAUUGCACAAUGGGGGAAACCCUGAUGCAGCGACGCCGCGUGAAGGAAGAAGUAUCUCGGUAUGUAAACUUCUAUCAGCAGGGAAGAUAGUGACGGUACCUGACUAAGAAGCCCCGGCUAACUACGUG